rnacentral:rRNA from 1 species
UACGGGGGGAGCAAGCGUUGUUCGGAUUUACUGGGCGUAAAGGGCGCGUAGGCGGCGUAACAAGUCACUUGUGAAAUCUCCGGGCUUAACCCGGAGCGGCCAAGUGAUACUGUUGUGCUAGAGUGCGGAAGGGGCUACUGGAAUUCUCGGUGUAGCGGUGAAAUGCGUAGAUAUCAGGAGGAACACCGAUGGCGAAGGCAGGUCUCUGGGCAUUAACUGACGCUGAGGAGCGAAAGCAUGGGGAGCGAACAGG